UUUACUUUUACGUGGUUACCUAGGUCUUUCUUGUGCUUGUGUAAAUUUUUUCCGCUGCAUCAGCAAUUCGAGCUAAUAAAAUAAGUUAUAUGUACAUAUCUUCAACAUGUCUGAAAUGCGUAUCCGUCCACGACAAGUACUCGUACUUAUUAUAGUGUUCCUUGUGAUAUUGCUGAUGGUUCAUCGUAAUGGUAAACGCACAUGCCAGGGUCCGGAGUUUUUACAGACCAUGUACGCUCGGCAUGUGGAAGGCACUUUACCAACAAUUUAUGCCAUAACACCAACGUAUGCACGGCCAUCGCAAAAAGCUGAAUUAACGAGAUUGUCUCAUAUUUUUAUGCUUGUGCCCAACUUGCAUUGGAUCAUCAUUGAAGACGCUAAUACAACUACGUCACUUGUGCGCAACUUGUUGACGCGUGCUGGUUUGGCGGAACGUUCAACACAUCUCCACAUUAAAACCCCGGUCAAUUUUAAAUUAAGAGGCAAAGAUCCCAAUUGGCUGAAACCACGUGGCGUUGAACAACGAAAUUUGGCACUAAGUUGGAUACGCACAAAUGUAGAUCCACAACGGCAAAGUGUAUUAUUUUUCAUGGAUGAUGACAAUUCUUACAGUGUUGAACUUUUUGCUGAAAUGACAAAAAUUGAAGCUGGCCGAGUUGGUAUAUGGCCAGUCGGUUUAGUAGGUGGUCUAAUGGUGGAAAAACCAUUACUCAAUGCUGAUAAAACCCAAGUUGUUGGCUUUAAUGCUGCAUGGCGGCCAGAACGACCAUUUCCCAUAGAUAUGGCGGCAUUUGCCAUUAGCACGGAUUUGCUAUUCAAAUAUCCACAGGCACAAUUUGCUUAUGAAGUGGAACGUGGCUACCAAGAAAGUGAGAUUUUGCGACACAUAACAACAAAACAACAACUUCAACCCUUAGCAAAUAAUUGUCGAGAUGUACUGGUUUGGCAUACGCGUACGGAGAAAACUAAUUUGGCAGCUGAACUAAAAUUAAAUAAAGCAGGAAAACGAUCAGAUGAAGGCAUGGAAGUUUAACAUGAGAAUGCAGUUGAAGAGACGGCAGUUAUUAACCGAGUUUUGCCUGGUUUGAUACAUGAACAUACAUAUACAAUAACGUAAAGCCAUUUAACAAAGGCAUAUCUAAAGAAAAUGGUCGUGAUAUGAUAUAGAUAUGAUAUAUUUAGCUAAGAAGUAUACAUAUGUACAUUAUAUAUAAGUAGAUAGGUAUCUCAAAGUGCUUCCAAAUAUGUACAUACAUACAUGUAUGAAUGCAUUUUGUAGAUUGGUACAAUUACCAAAUGGGAAAUGAUGAUAAAUAGUUUUAUGGCAAUCUAAAGUAAAUAUCAAUUACUUUAUAUAGUGACAAUAAGGGAAUUUUAAAUAUUUAGAAAUUUUCAAAAUAUGCAUACGAUAUUAAAUAAGUCUGCAUUUUAUGAAAAAUUGUAUGUAAUAUUUCCUUUUGCCACAAAUGAGCUGCGCAAUGUAAGAUAAUUGAAAAUGGUAGCCAUAUGUCUGAACGUAGGUAGAUAAUGUCAUUAAUUUUCAAGAAUGUACAUAUGUAUUUAUGGAAUCCCAAAAUCAUAUUUAAUCAAAAAAGGAAACUAACGUAAUUAAUCUGGGUAACCAAUCCGAAUCUACUUACAUAAACGCCGUUUUAGUGAUUUACAUAAGUAUGUACCUAAAAAACAGUUAAAACUUGAAUUUUUUUAAAACAUAUUUUUUCCCAUAAAACAGAACACAGAAACCUGUAACAUCCGCCAAAACUUCUUCUUCUUGACUAUCUUUAACUGGAAAAAUAUAAAAAGACGGUUUUUUUUAUUUUGCAAUUUUUUUAGUUGUGACUGUUUUUGAUUUAGGGUGCGAUGUGUAUGUACAUAUGUGCAUUAGGGUGGUCCAAAACGGCCUGUUUCCACAAGCAAAAGUUUUUUCUACCAACUGUAAUUUUUAUUGCCUGAUGUAAAUUUUAUCAGAGGUAAUAUUUGACGUGGGCAUUUUUUAUCUUGAAAAAGCAUUUCUAAGACGGCUAUUUCUGCCGGAUUAAUCACUUAAAAAAUUUAAAAAAUAUGUAAACAGCUCAAUUUUUUCUUUUAUAUUAAAAUAUCAAUAAUGUUGCCGCCACGCAGUUAUCGCGCAUAUAAAAAUGGAGCUGUCAAAGUACCAAAUUGCUGGCAAUAUUUAGCAAGAUAAAAAUAUUUAGAGAACGCUCAAACCGCUUAAAGUUUUCCAUGUUUCUUAUACGGGGAAAAAAUUACUCUUCGUAGAAAUGGUAUAAAAAUCUUGAAAAUCAAUAUUUUUCGAUCGGAAAA
rnacentral:misc_RNA from 1 species